GAUGAACGCUGGCGGCGUGCCUAAUACAUGCAAGUCGAGCGAACAGAUAAGGAGCUUGCUCCUUUGAAGUUAGCGGCGGACGGGUGAGUAACACGUGGGUAACCUACCUAUAAGACUGGGAUAACUUCGGGAAACCGGAGCUAAUACCGGAUAACAUUUAGAACCGCAUGGUUCUAAAGUGAAAGAUGGUUUUGCUAUCACUUAUAGAUGGACCCGCGCCGUAUUAGCUAGUUGGUAAGGUAACGGCUUACCAAGGCGACGAUACGUAGCCGACCUGAGAGGGUGAUCGGCCACACUGGAACUGAGACACGGUCCAGACUCCUAUGGGAGGCAGCAGUAGGGAAUCUUCCGCACUGGGCGAAAGCCUGACGGAGCAACGCCGCGUGAGUGAUGAAGGGUUUCGGCUCUUAAAACUCUGUUAUUAGGGAAGAACAAAUGUGUAAGUAACUGUGCACAUCUUGACGGUACCUAAUCAGAAAGCCACGGUUAAUUACGUGUCACCAGCCGCGGUAAUACGUAUGUGGCAAGCGUUAUCCCGGAAUUAUUGGGCGUAAAGCGCGCGUAGGCGGUUUCUUAAGUCUGAUGUGAAAGCCCACGGCUCAUCCGUGGAGGGUCAUUGGAAACUGGGAAACUUGAGUGCAGAAGAGGAAAGUGGAAUUCCAUGUGUAGCGGUGAAAUGCGCAGAGAUAUGGAGGAACACCAGUGGCGAAGGCGACUUUCUGGUCUGUAACUGACGCUGAUGUGCGAAAGCGUGGGGAUCAAACAGGAUUAGAUACCCUGGUAGUCCACGCCGUAAACGAUGAGUGCUAAGUGUUAGGGGGUUUCCGCCCCUUAGUGCUGCAGCUAACGCAUUAAGCACUCCGCCUGGGGAGUACGACCGCAAGGUUGAAACUCAAAGGAAUUGACGGGGACCCGCACAAGCGGUGGAGCAUGUGGUUUAAUUCGAAGCAACGCGAAGAACCUUACCAAAUCUUGACAUCCUUUGAAAACUCUAGAGAUAGAGCCUUCCCCUUCGGGGGACAAAGUGACAGGUGGUGCAUGGUUGUCGUCAGCUCGUGUCGUGAGAUGUUGGGUUAAGUCCCGCAACGAGCGCAACCCUUAAGCUUAGUUGCCAUCAUUAAGUUGGGCACUCUAGGUUGACUGCCGGUGACAAACCGGAGGAAGGUGGGGAUGACGUCAAAUCAUCAUGCCCCUUAUGAUUUGGGCUACACACGUGCUACAAUGGACAAUACAAAGGGCAGCUAAACCGCGAGGUCAUGCAAAUCCCAUAAAGUUGUUCUCAGUUCGGAUUGUAGUCUGCAACUCGACUACAUGAAGCUGGAAUCGCUAGUAAUCGUAGAUCAGCAUGCUACGGUGAAUACGUUCCCGGG
rnacentral:rRNA from 1 species